rnacentral:rRNA from 1 species
GAUGAACGCUAGCGGCGGGCCUAAUACAUGCAAGUCGAACGGUAACAGGUGUAGCAAUACAUGCUGACGAGUGGCGCACGGGUGCGUAACGCGUAUGCAAUCUACCUUUAACUGGUGAAUAGCCCGAAGAAAUUCGGAUUAAUACACCAUAGUAUAGUUGAGUGGCAUCACUUAACUAUUAAAACUCCGGUGGUUAAAGAUGAGCAUGCGUGACAUUAGCUAGUUGGUGAGGUAAUGGCUCACCAAGGCUACGAUGUCUAGGGGAUCUGAGAGGAUUAACCCCCACACUGGUACUGAGACACGGACCAGACUCCUACGGGAGGCAGCAGUAAGGAAUAUUGGACAAUGGUCGCAAGACUGAUCCAGCCAUGCCGCGUGAAGGAUGAAGGCCCUAGUGGGUUNUAAACUGCUUUAGCCGAGGGGAUAAAGACUCUCAUGCGUGAGAGG